GCUCAGAACGAACGCUGGCGGCGUGCUUAACACAUGCAAGUCGAACGAGAAAGUUUCCUUCGGGGAACGAGUAAAGUGGCAAACGGGUGAGUAAUACAUGGGUAACCUGCCCUUAAGACCGGGAUAACAUCUUGAAAAGGAUGCUAAAACCGGAUAAGACUACAUGGCUACGGCCUGGUAGUUAAACAAUAGCCUCUACAUGAAAGCUUUUGCUUAAGGAUGGGCCCAUGCGUCAUUAGCUUGUUGGUGGGGUAAUGGCCUACCAAGGCUGCGAUGGCUAGCCGGCCUGAGAGGGUGAUCGGCCACACUGGGAUUGAGAUACGGCCCAAACUCCUACGGGAGGCAGCAGUGGGGAAUUUUGCGCAAUGGGGGAAACCCUGACGCAGCAACGCCGCGUGGAGGAUGAAGCUUUUUGGAGUGUAAACUCCUGUCGGAUGGGAAGAAAUGGCAGUUUGUUAAUAGCUUGCUGUCUUGACGGUACCAUCAGAGGAAGCCCCGGCUAACUCCGUGCCAGCAGCCGCGGUAAUACGGGGGGGGCAAGCGUUGUUCGGAAUCACUGGGCGUAAAGGGCGCGUAGGCGGCCAGAUAAGUCAGGCGUGCAAUCCUAUGGCUUAACCAUAGAACUGCGUCUGAUACUGUUUGGCUUGAGUACAGGAGAGGAAAGUGGAAUUCCAAGUGUAGCGGUGAAAUGCGUAGAUAUUUGGAGGAACACCAGUGGCGAAGGCGGCUUUCUGGACUGAUACUGACGCUAAGGCGCGAAAGCUAGGGGAGCAAACGGGAUUAGAUACCCCGGUAGUCCUAGCUGUAAACGAUGGACACUAGGUGUAGGGGGAACUAAAUCCUCCUGUGCCGUAGCUAACGCAUUAAGUGUCCCGCCUGGGGAGUACGGUCGCAAGACUAAAACUCAAAGGAAUUGACGGGGGCCCGCGCAAGCGGUGGAGCAUGUGGUUUAAUUCGACGCAACGCGAAGAACCUUACCGGGGUUUGAAAUGUACUGGACCGCUAUAGAAAUAUAGUUUCCCUUCGGGGCUGGUACACAGGUGCUGCAUGGCUGUCGUCAGCUCGUGUCGUGAGAUGUUGGGUUAAGUCCCGCAACGAGCGCAACCCCUACCUUUAGUUGCCACCAGGUUAUGCUGAGCACUCUAGAGGAACUGCCGGGAUAAACCGGAGGAAGGUGGGGAUGACGUCAAGUCCUCAUGGCCCUUAUGUCCCGGGCUACACACGUGCUACAAUGGCCGGUACAAAGGGGAGCGAUACCGCGAGGUGGAGCCAAUCCCAAAAGCCGGUCUCAGUCCGAUUGUAGUCUGC
rnacentral:rRNA from 1 species